rnacentral:rRNA from 1 species
UAGGGUGCAAGCGUUAAUCGGAAUUACUGGGCGUAAAGCGUGCGCAGGCGGCUGUGCAAGACAGAUGUGAAAUCCCCGGGCUUAACCUGGGAACUGCAUUUGUGACUGCACAGCUGGAGUGCGGCAGAGGGGGAUGGAAUUCCGCGUGUAGCAGUGAAAUGCGUAGAUAUGCGGAGGAACACCGAUGGCGAAGGCAAUCCCCUGGGCCUGCACUGACGCUCAUGCACGAAAGCGUGGGGAGCAAACAGG